rnacentral:rRNA from 1 species
GUCGAACGCUGGCGGCGUGCCUAAUACAUGCAAGUAGAACGCUGAAGGAGGAGCUUGCUCUUCUGGAUGAGUUGCGAACGGGUGAGUAACGCGUAGGUAACCUGCCUGGUAGUGGGGGAUAACUAUUGGAAACGAUAGCUAAUACCGCAUAAUAACAGUUGUUGCAUGACAACUGUUUGAAAGGUGCAAUUGCAUCACUACCAGAUGGACCUGCGUUGUAUUAGCUAGUUGGUGGGGUAACGGCUCACCAAGGCGACGAUACAUAGCCGACCUGAGAGGGUGGACGGCCACAUUGGGACUGAGAUACGGCCCAGACUCCUACGGGAGGCAGCAGUGGGGAAUAUUGCACAAUGGGCGCAAGCCUGAUGCAGCGACGCCGCGUGGGGGAUGACGGCCUUCGGGUUGUAAACUCCUUUCGCUAGGGACGAAGCUUUUUGUGACGGUACCUAGAUAAGAAGCACCGGCUAACUACGUGCCAGCAGCCGCGGUAAUACGUAGGGUGCGAGCGUUGUCCGGAAUUACUGGGCGUAAAGGGCUCGUAGGUGGUUUGUCGCGUCGUCUGUGAAAUUCCGGGGCUUAACUCCGGGCGUGCAGGCGAUACGGGCAUAACUUGAGUACUGUAGGGGUAACUGGAAUUCCUGGUGUAGCGGUGAAAUGCGCAGAUAUCAGGAGGAACACCGAUGGCGAAGGCAGGUUACUGGGCAGUUACUGACGCUGAGGAGCGAAAGCAUGGGUAGCGAACAGGAUUAGAUACCCUGGUAGUCCAUGCCGUAAACGGUGGGCGCUAGGUGUGAGGGUCUUUUCACGACUUUCGUGCCGUAGCUAACGCAUUAAGCGCCCCGCCUGGGGAGUACGGCCGCAAGGCUAAAACUCAAAGGAAUUGACGGGGGCCCGCACAAGCGGCGGAGCAUGUGGAUUAAUUCGAUGCAACGCGAAGAACCUUACCUGGGCUUGACAUACACUGGAUCGCUGCAGAGAUGUAGUUUCCCUUUGUGGCUGGUGUACAGGUGGUGCAUGGUUGUCGUCAGCUCGUGUCGUGAGAUGUUGGGUUAAGUCCCGCAACGAGCGCAACCCUUGUCUUAUGUUGCCAGCAUUUGGUUGGGGACUCAUGAGAGACUGCCGGGGUCAACUCGGAGGAAGGUGGGGAUGACGUCAAAUCAUCAUGCCCCUUAUGUCCAGGGCUUCACACAUGCUACAAUGGUCGGUACAACGCGCAGCGACACUGUGAGGUGGAGCGAAUCGCUGAAAGCCGGCCUUAGUUCGGAUUGGGGUCUGCAACUCGACCCCAUGAAGUCGGAGUCGCUAGUAAUCGCAGAUCAGCAAUGCUGCGGAAAGGGGUUCCCGGGCCU